rnacentral:tRNA from 1 species
AGAAAUAUAGUUAAAGAAUAAUAUUUAUUUUGCUAAUAAAAGUUAUUUAUUAUAAAUUAUUUUUA